UCCUCAUUCUCAAGGCACUGUUUCUGCAUC
rnacentral:piRNA from 1 species